GAUUGAACGCUGGCGGCAGGCCUAACACAUGCAAGUCGAGCGGAUGAAGGGAGCUUGCUCCUGGAUUCAGCGGCGGACGGGUGAGUAAUGCCUAGGAAUCUGCCCGGUAGUGGGGGAUAACGUCCGGAAACGGGCGCUAAUACCGCAUACGUCCUGAGGGAGAAAGUGGGGGAUCUUCGGACCUCACGCUAUCAGAUGAACCUAGGUCGGAUUAGCUAGUUGGUGGGGUAAAGGCCUACCAAGGCGACGAUCCGUAACUGGUCUGAGAGGAUGAUCAGUCACACUGGAACUGAGACACGGUCCAGACUCCUACGGGAGGCAGCAGUGGGGAAUAUUGGACAAUGGGCGAAAGCCUGAUCCAGCCAUGCCGCGUGUGUGAAGAAGGUCUUCGGAUUGUAAAGCACUUUAAGUUGGGAGGAAGGGCAGUAAGUUAAUACCUUGCUGUUUUGACGUUACCAACAGAAUAAGCACCGGCUAACUUCGUG
rnacentral:rRNA from 1 species